rnacentral:lncRNA from 1 species
UAAUUGUGACUCCACCCGUAUUUAUUAUCCUAGAACGUCUUUCUGGUGCUUUCUUUUGAGGUUAGAGUUCGAACUCCUUAAUUACAAUUAUCACUUAUAAUUCUUAUCAGAACUAUAUCAAGGUAAAAUUAGGUCAAUGAUUAUAGUAGCGCGCCCCACUACAACUUUACUACGCACAUUCGCACACUGAUGGAUAGACCAAAUGACGUCCAAGCAUGUUGUCGCGCCGAACAGGUGAUGUUGUCGAGCAACAAUCUAGCAAUCUCGUGAUUAUUACGACUCGCGAGUCAUGAGCUCCACAACUCUAUCGUUUGUUAGGUUAGAUUAUUGCCUGAGAGUUGCUCCCCGCGUUAUGUAGUUUGUGAGUCAUUUUAAAUACCCCGUAACCUAUAUCAAAUAAUUAAUAAAUCAUUUUUUAUUCGUUUUUUUAAGAAUGCAGAGAAAACUAUUGGCGGUAACAGUAAGGGAAAUUGUAGCCGCUGCUAAUCCACCUCCAACUCUACCGCCAUUUCCCACACCGACCCGUCGACUCCUUUAAUUCUUAUAUCUAGCUUUUUCGAGUCGUUAUUAUCCAAGCACCAAUGUAUAUCGUUACGUUUAAUCGACUAAUUUUGUGAUUUGCAGUCGUUUGUUCUUUAGUACGUAUUCUUAUUUAUAUUUUGUAACUUUCUGAUAACUAUGAACUAAUAUAAUGAAGCCCUUGUUUGUUCAGAGAAAAUAAAAAUAUGAACAGGUCAUCUCUACUUGUGCACAUGUUUUUGUUACGAAAACUUUAUAAUAUAAUAUAGGUACAUUUUUGUAUAUUUUUUAAAUCUAAUCUAUUAAAAUUAUAUAAGUUUAGUUAAAGUAUUAAUCUGUUUCCAAUAAAUUGAUAUUAAGUCGCAUGUUGACGUCUAUAGUUUAAAUAAUAAGAUACGCCUAUUUUUUAUCCUCGUAUUUACCUAGAUUAGAAAAUGAUGGUAGUAUGCCUUGAUCAAGUCUCAAAUUCGCAAUUAUAAUUAUUAUUUACUCCGUGAAUAUAUUACAAUCUACAUUCUAAAUGUUAAAUGUAAUAUAAUUUUAAUUGAAAAAAAUUAUCUUGGAAAUGACAUACAUCAUUAUCACGGUUCCUUUUCAAUAUGUAGAUAAAUCUACCAAGUAGUAAAAGAUGACAAUUGUGUUCUGGAUCCUGCCGCCUAGACGUAUGACCUAUCCAUGUUUUUAUUAUCUACUUAUAUUUUUUUAGGAGGGUUUAGUAACCUAACCUUUAAAUACAUUCUAUUGUAUAUGAUUUAAUAUUUAUUAUUAUUUGUUAUGUUUUUGACACAUUUAGAAAUAUAAAUACUUUAUAAUAAAAUAAUAAAGUAAAAACAAAAUUAUGAAAAUUGUUAAUACUUAUAAAUAAAUAUUUUGUUUAUAGAUACUUGUGUGACGUUCUAUGCCAAACCACCUUAGAACAUAUAUUAUAGAUGGAGCCAUAGCCUUAGAAGAUAAUUAAAGGACAUAGGGCUAUCUUCCGCGGUAGCUUAGAGAGGAAGUUUUACUUCCUACCCUAUUGAUAACUUAGUUUCUGGUCACGAAGAAUAACAUCACAGUGUUAAAAGUUAAAAAUUUUUAACCGAUCAUCUGGUUGUUCAUAUUGAAUUUUAUUGUGAUCGAAUUUCGAAUCCAUUGACUAAUUGUUAUUCUUCACUAUAAUGCCAUUCAAGAAGUGUAUAGUGUGCAUACAUGAUUCUGGUAGGUUUAAUAUUAUCUAUAUUUUAUAAACUAAGAAUAAAUAACAAUGUACAGCAUUAUUCACAAAAUGUACCUAGGUAUUCUACACUUAAUCAUUAAAACUAUAUAGUAAUAAUAACAAUACCUAAGACAAAAUUUUUAAUCCUUCAAAAGAGGAUGUUUAGACCCUCUUCUUCAUUUAUAAAUUAAAAGUAAUACAAGUAAAGUUGAUUAAUGAUUUACAGAAUAUAUCAGAAUGAAACUCGUAGCCUGCUUAUCUAACGUGCACAUUGGAUAUAGUGACUGUGCACGGCGAGCCCAAUACCGUAUUCAAAUUAGAAAUCGGAAACCAUUUCCUUCUUGACUUCUGAUCAGAAACUACGGCUGAACCAUCUACAAUGAAAGUAUUAGAGUUGCAAAACAUAAUAUCUGGAAAAUAUACAUAAU